GCCGAGUCCCAGCAGAGGGAGGCGUGUAUUCAAACACCCUUUUCCCAAAUUCAGCACAGGCUUCAGAAGAAGGAACACGUACUGGAAACAACAAAAAUAACUUCCCACAUGUCUUUUUGUCAGCUGUGGGUGAGCAAGUCUUAAGGUUCAGACCAAGAAUAGUCUUUUAAAGAUGAGCACACGAGUGGCUGAGUCAAAGGAGAGCGUCCAAUCUGUGCGCGGCGUAAGUUGUUCUGACUAACCAGCAUCGGGCUGCAGCCAAUGGUGAAGCUGUGAUGUGACUUCUGAAGCUGCCAGCCGAAGAAAGGUGGCAAGAGAGACGGCGCCAAGGACGAGUUGCGGCGCACCGUCCAAACACGACAAGACAGGGAAAAAAGUCCAACGCGCGUCAGAAAGACGGAGAAAAGAAGUCUGGAUGUGACAAAAAACGAAGACAGCGGGAAACACGAUGCCUCAGACAAACCCGACGGGCGCCGAGGUUACGGUGUCGCAUGAACACGCACACGCAGGUGCAUGUGAUUAAGCAAACGUCAGCCAGACGUGAAGUUCAGCACCGUGCGAGUGACACAAAGACGUAAAGCGACACACAAACGCACACAGAGGCGUUCUCCAUCAGCAGCUUUAGUGCAGAGGGAUUCAUUCAGCCUGUAAAAAGUGACGCUGUGAUGGAGAGAGGCGAUAAUUUACACACUGCAGAGGGAGAGGCCUGCAGGCACAGAGACGUACUGUACCUAACCUGUACGAGCAGGAACCGCUCUGUGCACACGGACAGGACAUAAAUUCAUCCAGCAAACGUCCACCCGAGGCAGGACGCUCUGUGACGCCAGCUAAACUGAGGCUGCGCUUAAAGGAAAUGAACAGAAGUCAUGUGAUGUCCUCUGAAGUGAUGGAAACCCGACGGCGUGUGAAUGAGCAGGUGGCGUCUCUCUCGCCGCCUCUGCAGGAGCAUCAGUGUCACUCGCCCCCUCCCAUCAGAGGGAGUCCCUCUCUGGCACUGUGACCACUUCCUGUGGCUCACGUCUGUCUUCCUGUUCACGACACACGCCACUCCCUCGCCAGCACAGACAGUUACACAACCCGGGACGCCCGCCUCGCGCCGUUAUUCUUCCUGAAUGAAGUGCAGAGUGGUGACGGUUUCACGCAGUAAAAAUACACAUCGAUUAACAUGUUUUAUGAGCCGUAGAGGAGCAUUAAACUCACUUCUAUCCUUAUAAUGACAGAUUUUUAAAGAUGUUACCCUGUGAUGCAUCACUAUAUGAUUUUUUUUAUAUCUACAGUAAAUUAUGCACCCAAUAAUGGACUAAGUAUAUCAUUUUUAUCUUACUUUGUAGAAACUAAACCUUCUAGGCUAGUCUACUGCCAUGAUAAACGUGUACUUUAAAAAAAUUUUUCAUGUAUUAUUAACUAUUUUAAUGCAAUAAGACCUUCCCUGAAUCUCUCUUCUGCCUCCAACAGCCUGUGGAGUCUUUUCUGUACAAUACACAAUAAAUUUGAGUGCAGGGUUAGACACUCAGACCCACUCAGAACGCCUCUAUGUCCC
ensembl:lncRNA